CGAAUCGCAUGGCCUUGCGCCGGCGAUGGUUCAUUCAAAUUUCUGCCCUAUCAACUUUCGAUUGUAGGAUAGAGGCCUACAAUGGUAUCAACGGGUAACGGGGAAUUAGGGUUCGAUUCCGGAGAGGGAGCCUGAGAAACGGCUACCACAUCCAAGGAAGGCAGCAGGCGCGCAAAUUACCCAAUCCCGACACGGGGAGGUAGUGACAAUAAAUACUGAUACAGGGCUCUUUUGGGUCUUGUAAUUGGAAUGAGUACAAUCUAAAUCCCUUAACGAGGAACAAUUGGAGGGCAAGUCUGGUGCCAGCAGCCGCGGUAAUUCCAGCUCCAAUAGCGUAUAUUAAAGUUGUUGCAGUUAAAAAGCUCGUAGUUGAACCUUGGGCCUGGCUGGCCGGUCCGCCUCACCGCGUGCACUGGUUCGGCCGGGCCUUUCCUUCUGGGGAGCCGCAUGCCCUUUACUGGGCGUGUCGGGGAACCAGGACUUUUACUUUGAAAAAAUUAGAGUGUUCAAAGCAGGCCUUCGCUCGAAUACAUUAGCAUGGAAUAAUAGAAUAGG
rnacentral:rRNA from 1 species